UACGAAGGGGGCUAGCGUUGUUCGGAAUUACUGGCGUAAAGGGCGCGUAGGCGGUGUGUCAAGUCAGGCGUGAAAGCCCCGGGCUCAACCUGGGAACAGCGCUUGAGACUGGCACGCUCGAGUUCGGGAGAGGAUGGUGGAAUUCCCAGUGUAGAGGUGAAAUUCGUAGAUAUUGGGAAGAACACCGAUGGCGAAGGCAGCCAUCUGGACCGACACUGACGCUGAGGCGCGAAAGCGUGGGGAGCAAACAGG
rnacentral:rRNA from 1 species